CAGCAGCCGCGGGAAAACGUAGGGUGCGAGCGUUAAUCGGAAUUACUGGGCGUAAAGCGUGCGCAGGCGGUUCGUUAAGACAGAUGUGAAAUCCCCGGGCUUAACCUGGGAACUGCAUUUGUGACUGACGGGCUAGAGUAUGGCAGAGGGGGGUAGAAUUCCACGUGUAGCAGUGAAAUGCGUAGAGAUGUGGAGGAAUACCGAUGGCGAAGGCAGCCCCCUGGGCCAAUACUGACGCUCAUGCACGAAAGCGUGGGGAGCAAACAGGAUUAGAUACCCCGGUAGUCCCUGUCUCUUAUAC
rnacentral:rRNA from 1 species